AUGAACCCUUUAAAAGCAAAUAUUUUUUUUUCUGGCUGCUAUUAGAAGGAGAAGUUAGAAGAUUAGAAAAGUAUGAGAAAGAUUCGAUGCAUUGUUACCAGCUUAAAGCUAGAGGGGGCCACGUGGCAAAGAAUGCUGGAGUGAAGUGGCGUGAUCAUAGCGAGCUCACUGCAGCCUCAAACUCCUUGGUGCGAGGGACCCUCCUGCCUCAGCAUGUGUCAGAAAAGCAGGCCGGUAGAUCAAACGCCCAGGUCGAAUGCUUUGAAGUUAAUGUCAUAAUAGAUGUUAUAGCACAAAGAUCCAACACCUUCUUCCAAGAAGCUUGAACAGGAGCAGGCAAGAAUAUUAACCAUUUAGAGACUGGACAGCAAUGUCUCAUUGAUUCACAUGUUCUAGAGCACCAGCUCCACCUGUUUAUGCACCAGAACGGGGAUGGGAAGAAACACAGCCUUUGGAUGUUUGCAAAUCCCGAAUGACCAUAAUGAGGCUCCUGGGACCAACCAUAGGUUAAAGAAAAACCAUCUGGUGCUGAGAAUCCAAAGGCAGCGGGAAAUCCUCAACAGGAACUGGAGAGGUUGGAGAAAUAAUAGAGCAGAAGCCACCUGGAAGCAGGGGCCCAAACAACAGGGCAGGUUGUUAGCUGCAUUGCACAUAGAAGGGUAGAAGAGGAAGAAUGAUUUUACUUCUUGACAAAGAAGAAGAAGGAAAGACGUCUGCAGGGUAAGCAUGUCUGGGAGUCCCUGCCACCUGCUGCCAUUCAUUUAAUCAUCCCUGGGAGCCGGACUGCAGGCCCUGUGCCAGGCUGUCAGCAGCAGAAACUGGCAAGGAGAGAGCUCACUCAGCAGCUAUUAGAUACCAGGGCCUGCCCACCAGUUACAGUGUGAACUGGGGACUGGAGGAACAGGAAGCAAUGGCUGAUCUCAGCAGUCAGCAGGAGGAAAAGUAAGGCAGAACUGAAAUGUAUGAUGUGUUUACUUUGUUAUCAGCACUGUGUCAUGCUAAGUACCUUUGAAAUGUCUCUUCUUCUCAUUCCUCGAAAUAGUCCUACUAAGUAGGUAUUACUUUCUUCAUUAUUGCCAAAGAAGAAACUAAGACCAAAAGAGUUUAAGUAAAUUGUUCAGUAGAUCUUGGACAUUAAACCAAUUUUGUCUGACUCAAAA
ensembl:lncRNA LINC02778 long intergenic non-protein coding RNA 2778